rnacentral:lncRNA from 1 species
GACACCCCUGGAGACCAUUUAAAGAGUAUGUCAAUCCCUUGGACUGUUGAUUCAUCAGCCAUCUGCUUUACUUCAGUGUAAUGCCAUCACCCCACAAGUCUACUUCAUUUUCAAAACAAUAUUGCUUUUGAUUUUUUAAAAAAUAGAAAAACAAACUUAAGUAAUUUUAUGCUAUUUAGCUAUUAGGGUUUCUUCCUUUCCUUCCUACCACGAGAAGCAAAACACCACUCCAAUCCUCUGCAACCGAAUCUUCUGAGCAGCUGAGAGGUCCAAUGGUGUGGGUGUUCUUUUCUCAGGGGUUUGGUUUCUCUGGAAGGAGAUUAGCGGACAAUGAUGGCAUUUUGGACUGCUGGAUAGCUCAGUGAUUUAAGUUAUCUGAUGCGGAGCCAGAAGUUGGGCAUUCAAUUCCCCAGUGUGCCUCCUUGACAGGGUCUGACCUCGAUGAUCCAUAUGGUCCCUUCCAGUUCUGCGGUUAGUAUUAUUUUGUUCCUAUCAAAUGUUUAGGCAGAUCUUGGGAAAAGUUUUGGUUUGGGACUUUUAACUUGCAGAACAUCUCCCAACACUCGUGGCUCAAGGCUCUACUUUAUAUCCAAUUUUGCUCUCGUUUUUGAAGGCUUGGAAGCCAGAUGUCAUUCUCUCUGCGGCAUCCUGGGAGUUGCAGUCCAAAACAUCAGGACAACAGGAUUUUGAGCAAAGAUCAACUCAGCUGAUUUCCUUCUUCUUGUUAGCUUGUUUGCUAUAUUUAUAUAGCAUAUUUUCACCAACAGACAUACAGCGGCAUCCACCUCCUUUCUCCUGCUCACUGUAUCCUCACACCAGAUUUGCCAGUGAGAAAUGCUCAAUUCCCCACUCGUAUCCCAUGGAAAAACUAAAUGAUCUUCGGCACUAUGUGGGAAACACAGAAUGCAGCUACUGCCACCUUGUGACACUCUUGAAGAACUGCAACAUUCAUUUGGAAAAAUCUUCUCGGAAAUAAUAACCUUUGAAUAAUAACAAUCAAGUGCAUCAUCUUCCAACGGUGAGGAAGACCAGCCCAGAUUAUUGCCAAAGUUACCUCAAAACCUUGACUGAGGGCCUGGCUCCAUUGACAGUAAGAACUGGAAUAUGCCAUGGUUCAAUUGAAAUAGACCUUGAAUCAACUUGCAGUCAUGUGGUAUUUAAUUCGCUGUUUCCAAUCACUCAUGUUAGUUUGUUAUGUGUUGGUUUUUAAGCAGGGAGGGGAAACAACGUUUUAUUCUACUGAGGUCCAUGUUCCUUUGGAGGUCAUUUCCUGGUGUGGCUGCACCCAAAAUGGGACAGCCUAUUGUUUGGGGGAAGUGACCAUGGUGGGUGGUUAAAGAAUUCUUGGACUCGUCAUUCAAA